AGCCCAUGGAAUGGACAUAAUCUCAACAAGUCCUUAUAACGCUCACAUGCGUCAAAAAAAGAUUCCCCAUCUUCCUACCUAAAAUUAUUAAUCUCAUUCCUAACUUU